rnacentral:snRNA from 1 species
AUACUCACCUGGCAGGGGAGGUACCAUGAUCACAAAGGUGGUUUUCCCAGGGCGAGGCUUAUCCAUGGCCCUCCGGAUGUGCUGACCCCUGCGAUUUCCCCAAAUGUGGGAGACUCGAUUGCAUAAUUUGUGGUAGUGGGGGACUGCGUUUGCGCUCUCCCCUA